rnacentral:lncRNA from 1 species
GCACUUAAACGUUCCCUACAUUUCUGGACUUUCUUUGCAAUCCUAUACCUGGUUCUAACUAUACUUUACCAUGUCUGGACCGAAUAAGCGUUUAAUAUAUACUCAGACGGAGUUGCAGCGUUUUGUUGCGCGAUCCUGCUCAAUGGAACCCCUUAGCUUGAUCACGCUCGCUCUCUGAUCGUAAGGGAAUGCCCUUCGACGCUUCUCUGGCGCUUUGGACCACGCUUUGGUUCGGGGGCCGCAUUCGGGAGCAAAUCGGAGCAGAGCGGAGCUUUCAAGCGGAGCAAAGGCGCGCGAAGCGUUGCGGACAAGGCGUUCGGCAAGUCGCUGAAAGCAAAAGGGCAUGCACAGCUGUGCGGGCGGGCUACUUGCUUGCCAUGCGGGUCCUGCUUGCCGUGCCUUCGUGUCUACCCGUCGCUUUACAGUUCACAGCUUUGUGCAAUACCUUUCCACAUCUUCCAUCGUGCCACCCCCACCUCCCCAAGACCCUCAGGACUUUUGGCGCGGUACUUCCCCUGUCUGCCUAUCCAGGCCGCAGGGCCCGCGUGCCCUUGGGGAAAGGGCGUGUGUGCCGUUGGGAUCCGGCCUGUGCGCCGCAAGCAACGGGCUUUGCGCCCUUGCCUUAUGGACAAUGGACGGCAUACGUGCCCUUAUGAUACGGCCUGUGUGCCGCAAGCAAUGGGCUCCGCGCCCUUGCUUUAUGGACAAUGGACGGCAUACGUGCCCUUAUGAUACGGCCUGUGCGCCGCAAGCAAUGGGCUCCGCGCCCUUGCUUUAUGGACAAUGGACGGCAUACGUGCCCUUAUGAUACGGCCUGUGUGCCGCAAGCAACGGGCUCCGCGCCCUUGCUUUAUGGACAAUGGACGGCAUACGUGCCCUUAUGAUACGGCCUGUGCGCCGCAAGCAACGGGCUCCUCGCCCUUGCUUUAUGGACAAUGGACGGCAUACGUGCCCUUAUGAUACGGCCUGUGCGCCGCAAGCAAUGGGCUCCGUGCCCUUGCUUUAUGGACAAUGGACGGCAUACGUGCCCCUAUGAUACGGCCUGUGCGCCGCAAGCAAUGGGCUCCGCGCCCUUGCUUCAUGGACAAUUUACGGCGUACGUGCCCUCAUGAUACAGCCUGUGCGCCGCAGGCAACGGGCUCCGCGCCCUUGCUCCAUGGACACUUCACGGCG